rnacentral:snoRNA from 1 species
AAGGCUAUGCUUUCAGGGAUCAUUUCUCUAGUGGGUGACUGGAGAAGGGUGGUUGUAAAAGCCUGGUCUCGCUAACCACGAUGAGGAACUGUAGUGUUUCUUUCUGAGCAUGACGCUGGUAGAGAGUGCUGUUCUG